GACGAACGCUGGCGGCGUGCCUAAUACAUGCAAGUCGAACGCAGUGGGGACGGGUGAGUAACACGUGGGUAACCUCCCAUCAGAGGGGAUAACACUUGGAAACAGGUGCUAAACCGAUACUGAUGGAUGGACCCGCGGUGCAUUAGCUAGUGGGUGAGGUAACGGCUCACCAAGGCCACGAUGCAUAGCACACCUGAGAGUGUGAUCGGACAACCUGGGACUGAGACACGGACAAGACUCCUACGGGAGGCAGCAAUAGGGAAUCUUCGGCAAUGGACGAAAGUCUGACCGAGCAACGCCGCGUGAGUGAAGAAGGUUUUCGGAGCGUAAAACUCUGUUGUUAGAUAAGCGGUAUCUAACCAGAAAGCCACGGCUAACUACGAGCCAGCAGCCGCGGUAAUUC
rnacentral:rRNA from 1 species